AAACACAAAAAGACGAAGGAUUCGUGAAAGAAAUCCUGAUUUAAACAUCCUGAAGCUGGACGAAACAUCCUCCUACGUACAGUAACUACCAACAAUGCAAAUGUGUCCUCUGUAGAGAACAUUUCUGAAUGUCUCCCAACCACCGAAAGAACUCCUUUUGGUACAGAGGACAGAUAUAAAGGGGGCGGAGCUCUGGGAAUUGUAGUUUUCGGGGGAUCUCAACUGAAAGUUUUUUCUGGUAGUCAGGAGAAAAUGCCACCAUUUCCACACUUAAGGUUGUAGUUCAGAAUAAAUAUAAUAGAGUACGGUCUAAAAGUGAACCACAGUUUUACAAAUUAUCCAUCAAUUUACUCAACCCGCUUUAUUGUCCUUUUUGGGGUCACAGGGUUGCCGGAAUUUGUCCCGGCUACCAUUUUACGAAGAAAAGAAUAAACAGAAACGACUAAAAUGUGCUAAAAACCCAACAAACUGAAACCGUUUGGUUCCUCUAAACAACAAAGUGGAAAAGAAAUGUCAAAAUAAAAGUCUAAUUAAGUAAUUGGAAAAAAUCCAGUUGAAGUGACUGAUGAUAAAACUCACAUGUCACAAACUCCAUGUCACUAAACCUGAUUUAAAUUAGAUGAAAAUCCUUCCUACGCCCUUCAAACAGACGGUCUACUUCUAGAAUGAAGACAAAUACUGUUUUUGGCUGCAUGUAGUGAGCAGGUUUAUCAUAUUAAGGGCUCUGGAAACAAUUCACUGAUAAAAAAAACAAUAAGAAAAAUGAUUAAAGUGGAAAAAGACAAGAAUUCUUUGAUAGGAUUGAGAGUGAAACACCUUUAACAAUUUCUUCUUUUUAAAUCAUAACUGUAUGUCAGAUUUGAUGUGAAGAUGGAGCACAAGAGAAAACACUUCUGUUGUUCUAAUCCUCUACUCUCCUAACAAAGUAAUCCAAAAGUAAUCAAGCGCUCGUUUAGCAUCUGUUGACGUCCCUAAUGAGGCUCAAUUGUGACGUGUGUGUGUGUGUGUUUGUGCACAAACGGACUGUUUUCAGCCCCCCUCCGCACUACCUCCCGACCUUUUUCACACUUAAAGGAUUAAUUUUAUAUCUGCAGAGACGACAGGAGGACAGAAUCCAUUGGUUUAGGAGAAAACUCCAAUCGGAGGAUGAACUGAAGGAGUCCCAUCUGUGUCUUUGCCUCCUCAUAAAGCUAAAUGAGUGAAUUCAGCCUCGAGAAACAGGAAAAGGAGGAGGAGAAUGGCAGGAAUGGAGAGAAUCCUCUUUAAAAUACUGCACACAGAUGGAUAAACAAUGUUUUUUUCCACAAAUUGUUUGAUAUUAUUGAUUUUAAAACAAUCAUUUUCUAAAAAUGAGCUGUUUUUCAACCAAAGACACUUUUCCCAGCACCUCUUGGGAGGGUCAUGGAUUUUAUAUUAAUUAAUCCAAGUUCAUAAAUGUCCACAAUCAGCUUAAUCCUGUUUAUCAGCCCUCAUCCAUUAGUGUAGCAGGAGUGGCUGCACCAUACAGUGAAACUGUUGUGACACAAUGUGUCCCAUUGGUCAGAAAAUGCAGUGAAAACAGGAAAAACACAAAUAGUUUCAGUCAAAAAUAUUUUUAUCCUGGAGAGCCCACAGGGUCAAAUUUGGUUGCUGUUUUUGUUCUUCUUCAACACUUUAUUUUUGUUUUUAUUAUUAUUAUUUUCCUUUUUUCAGCGGAUGUUACUUGCUGAUAUCAAAUGAAAAAAAACAAAAAGCAAAAUACUUCCUUUGGCAAUGCUGGGAUAUACAACUGGUGGUUGUGUUUUUCUUUAUACUGUAAAAUAUUGCAUAAUUUAUCAAAAUAAAAGCGCUUGGAAUUUACUUUGGUAAAAACAACUUGUAUGUGAGAUACAGUUUUAGUGUUUGAUGUUCUGCUGAUUAAAUAAAAUGCGUUUCAUGCACAAAACAUAGUCUUUCAACAAAUUGGGUUCUCUGUUACGGUCGUGGAACAUAUUCGGAUAUUUUGCUAAAUACUAACUGCGUCCCUUCAGUAGAGCCACUAAAAGGGAAAACUGCAGAAUUCAAAAGAUGAAAAUAUACUUUUUUUUAAAUCAUCUCCCCCGUUGGGUCCAACAUCGACACAGCAGAGCGACGAUGCGUUUCAUUUCUUUCUGUUAACUUGUCAACUCUGUUAAUUUUUUAAAAAGUGUUCCAGGCAUGCGGCUAAAAAUGGCAGCGAGGGCCCAAAAGCAUGAAUAAAUGAGAUCUAUGCGUCUAAAGAGAGCAGGAGGAGGCGGAUCAGGUAAAGGAGGUGAAACGGAGCAAAAAGGAGGCAGGUUCAAGGUGACUGACAGCUGUAGGAUCAACACAUCCUGCAACUGCUAUGCAGAUCAACUCUGACCAUAUUAGCAGGAAAAUAACAGUGUCUGCACUGUGCAUGAAUAAUCCAGAAGCUUAUAAAUAUACAAUGACAGCACACAAGUGUGCACAUUUAUGCUUGAAGACGCACUAUUUAAACUCCAUCGAUGUGGUUAGCAGUGUGCGUGGGGGCAGCAGUAAAUCUGAUCUAGUCAUGAAAGAACACUUAUACUUUCAACCUUUUCAUUUUUCUCAGAAAAAUUCUAAUGUAAGACCAUUUCAGAAGAUUUCCAACACUUCAAACCUGAAAGAUCAGACAUUAACCCCAGAGGCGGGAAUGUAAUGACUGUUCCAAUGUCUAGAUAUCCAGAUAGAUGUCUAGAUGUCUAGAGAGAUGUCUACAAAGAUCUCUAGAUAAAUGUUUAGAUAGACAUCUAGAUGUCAAAAUACUGUAAAUAGGUGUCUAGAUAAACAUCUAGAUCUUUAUCUAGAUGUCUAGAUAUCUAAAUAAAUGACCAGAUGGAUCUGGUCUUGACAUGGUCUAGAUGUGAAAAAAAAUCAAAAAAAAUAAAAAUAAAUUGUGUUUUUCAAACAAGCAAUUAACAUGUCCUUUUUUUCCCCUGGUUUAUUAGUGUAAAACUAACUAUUCAUGCCAGCUACCAAGUGGAAAACUAGCGCUUUCAUUUGCUUUUUCAGACCUCUGACUGACUGAUAUGUUUGCAUCCGUCACGUCUGUCCUCUCUAACCCGUCCAUGUGUGGAGCUCCUGCUCCAUGUCCUGCAUGUUGGCGGUAAAUCUACUGAUCCCUCAUCACCCCUGUGACGUGAAAUGAGCAGAGAAACCAAACACUGUCGGGGAAACAAGGAUUUGCUGGAAAUUCAGUUUCUUCAACCACUUGAAGGAGAACAUAAAGUUGGACCAGGAAUUAUAUUUAGUGAUCCGAUCAGAGGGAGCUAGAACUGAAAUUCACUGCAGCUUUUUUUUGCAUCAAAGGCUGUUUCCUUCUCAGUGCUUCCUAACUUAAUGCCUUCAUCUGACGCAGAUUCAUCUUUGAUCUUUUUUUCAAAUAUGGAGCUAAAUUUCAAAUCAUUUUCAUUCAUUUUCUUGGAGUAUUUUUGAUUUUGCUUCUGGGUGAGCCCAAAGAAAUAAGUUUAAGUUUUGCUAACUGGUACCUUGAGUCCGAAGCCGCUUUUCCGUGAACUUUUGAUCAGUUCAAAAGAUUUUACAUCCACUAUAUGCACAGGACGGCUCGCUGCAGCAUCACAGCAUCAAAGCCGCCGUGCUGCUCCACUUUCUAAGGUCUUGAUGCUCAAGGCAACAAAAGCACAAUCAACAAAGAGGCCUGAAAUAACCACACAUGCAUCUGUAUGCUAAUGUGUGUACGCACGCAGCACUGAAGCAGUCCUAUGCCGUCAAAUGAACUCCUGCAGUACAUCUGAAGGUACUAAUCAGGAAAAGAUGGUCCUACUUUUCGUUUUCUGUGUAGAAAAGUUGGUGGACUUCAAAAACGUUAUUGCAAAAGCUUUAUUAAUAAAUAUGGAUAAAUAUGUUUAGUGUAGUUUGCCUUUUUGCAUUUACAGAUCUGCAAAAAAAAGAAAAUCUUUAAAAAAAAAGGCAAAAUCCAAAGCAACAUUUUUUAGACGUACCUUCAAAACUGAGCAGAGAGGACGACUUUGGCUCAGUGACUCAUUAGAAAGAUGAAAGAGACUGAGUCAGUAAUUCAUAUUAGAAAUGACACAGCAUAUUACCAGCAGAAUAGAACUGGCGUUUUUAAACCUCCUCCCAGCGGACUCCUGCAGUAGUGAAUUAUGUCACGCUCACUCCUGCUCUCCAGCCUGAUUUUUCCGGCUAUUGUGUAAGCCAACCAACUACUCACAGGGGCAUUUAAUCUCUAUCCAUUUCUACCGAUUAAAGGGCCUCACGGCAGCAAAAGCACCCAUCUUUUCCACCAGAACCCCAAAACCAGAGCUGCAUUAUUCGGACAGAAAGAAACAUCAGAAAUGAGCGUCUCACUUGCAGAAAGUCACAUGCACGCUCCCAAGACUACACCGCUGAAAUCAUCCUGCAGCACGCUAAUCUGUUGGCAUGACAACUGGAGUGGAAUAUGCGCUUGGCCUAGAAAAUACGGCUGGGAAGAAAAGAUGAAUGAGCAGGGAGAUAUGAAUAAAAAAACAGCAGCAGAAGCUCUCAGACAGCACACACCUACAUUAUAGCUCUCACUGUUUUUUGCCAGAAGACUGCACAAUGCCCCGUCCGACUGCAUCACUUCAUCUGGAUGCAGGAGCUCAGCGUUUGCAUGGUUGUUUGCUCCUGGAGUCUGCGGGAGGCGUUGUGUGUCACGCUAAACAACAAAGACUUGGAACGACUGCCCCUGUGGGGCGGUGGAGACACACCGACCCCUGCACACCUUUUCACUCUGGAGGCUUCAUCACAUAAAGAAACAAACACCUCUGAUGGUCCACAGAGGUCAACUAGAAACAGCACAAACUGCAAACUCGAAUUGAAAGAUUUUCAGAAGAUAGAGAUUUUUGAGAUCAAGUUUGAGAACAAGUCUAGAACACUCCCGCAAAGACAGACAAUCGGGGAUCUCUAUGGACUCUGAAUAAUCAGGAAUUUCUGAACUUCUGUGGAAAAAGAUAAGUUUCCUGGAUGAGCUUUUGAAAAACCUAAAGCCAAAGAGCUAAAAGACUGCAUCUUAUCGUCUUAGAACACCUAGAACCAAAAAGAAGAAGCACAUUACACUCAUUUUGGGGCUUUAACAUAUUUAAGACUCUUUUAUCAGUUGAUAUUGUCAUGGUGCCUCUGUCAGGCUCCUCCCCCUCCAGCUCUGCUCCACUCCAGAUGACCACCAGCUGUCGUCACUCAACUCAUCAUCCUCUGCUGCUCAAAAGGAGACCCAGCUCCACCAUUCAACGCCAGUUUGUUGCCCCUUAUGCUGACUAAAGCCUGGUCUUGUCAUGCUCUUGUUAUUCUCGUCUUGCUCAAGUUCUGGCUCUAACUUUGUUCUCCUGUCUCAGGAAUAUCACCCACGAGUGACGUCAGUGUGGACCUUCUAUCUAAUCGCCUCGGAAGAACCUGAAGACCUCUCGGCCGACGCUAACUGCACUAUCACCUCCAGCCACGCCACAAGCCACUGUCUGUUCCGGACCUCGUCUCGCCAAAGCCAUAACCACCUCUGGAAAGAAAAAUAAUAAGUUCAUUCUUACCUACCAUUUACCUCUCCUCAUUCUGGCUUCCAGCAUCUGGGUUUGCCUCGCCUUGAAAAUCAUGACAGAUAUGUCUGACUAGAAUUGGACCUUCAUUCCGAUCAGAAAUUCUUUUACUUUAGGAUCCUCCCAGAGGUCCCAAGGUCAGAACGAAAACCCACAGUGAGACCUCAUUCCAGUACCAUGGAGCUGAGGAGGAGCUCGGCUUGACCUUGGAACCAGAGGUUUCUCCAGGUGAAAAGGCUUUCGGACAGUUCUGUGAUGUUUGUGAGAGCUGUUUGGGGACGGUUCUUUGCUGUUCCAACAAGCCGCACAGCAGAACCUGAAGAAGGUCCAUCAGGACACGGAUGGAGCUGGGAAUGGGAGCGAGCUCUUCUCAUCCAACGCCAGUCUGACCUUACAAAUGUGCUUCCUGCAGAGAAGCAGAUGCAGGAGCUGACAUCACACUAAACCUUAUUGAUUAUGGAUGGGAUGUCACUGAAAUUUCACAAGGGGGUAAACACGAUGUGCAUCUGUACACACCUGCAGGUUUCAUUAAAUGUGUUUCUUUGAA